UCGUCUUUUUUUUGGCUAUCUUAUAUUAUCAACCUUCAUAUAAAGUACCUUCGAACAACACUACAAGGUACCAAAGAAGUGGUCCACAAAUUUUAGGAUGAAAAAAACAAAAAUGCCAGUGGCAAAUAUUUCAUGCAUAUUCAGGAUGAUACACAAAUUUUACGAUUCUACUGUGAAAAAAUAAUAAUAAUUUAAAAUAAACUAAUAUUUAACCAUUUAAAUACAUCGUCUUUUCUUCGUUGGCUAUUCUUCCUUGCGAAAACCAUGGAGUAUGGUUUUCAGUAGAGUGCGCCUCUUUUCUUGCGUUGUCUUUUUUCCCUCUGAUAUGUAUUUUAUGUGAUAUGAAGUCAAUGUUAUUCUUUAUUGCUAUUUGUUGUGUUAUGUGCAAGUGUAUUUUUUUUUUUUGUAUGAAUAAAUUGUGGGACUUUGGCGGGAAAUUUGUGGGUGGGUAAAUUUCCCAAAUUGACUAUUCAAAUUUUACGAUUCUACUGUGAAAAAUAAUAAUAAUAAUUUAAAAUAAACUAAUAUUUAACCAUUUAAAUACAUUCGUUUUUCUUCGUUGGCUAUUCUUCCUUGCGAAAACCAUGGAGUAUGGUUUUCAGUAGAGUGCGCCUCUUUUCUUGCGUUGUCUUUUUCUACCUCUGAUAUGUAUUUUAUGUGAUAUGAAGUCAAUUUUAUUCUUUAUUGCUAUUUGUUGUGUUUUGUGCUAGUGUAAUUUUUUUUUUUUUGUAUGAAUAAAUGUCUGGGACUUUGGCAAGGGGAAUUUGUGGGAUGGGUAAUUUCCCAAAUUGACUAUUCAAAUUUUU
rnacentral:lncRNA from 1 species